rnacentral:lncRNA from 1 species
AUGUGUUCCUCACGACGUCCAGCUGCUUGUGUCUGCCCGCUAAGUCUGGACCCAUUGCUUUUCCAACAGGGGACUUAGUUUAGAAUACUUUCCAUACUACUCACCGUACCUGAAGGAGUCAGCUGUCCUUAGUUGCUUGUACCCUAGCACCCUUCCUUUUAGCAGUGAGUUCCUGUUUGCCGCUUCCUUUCUGUAUUGGAGUUAAUGGAGCAAAUCUGACUUCCUGAGACAGUACCUCCAGAACUCAAGAAGAACUUCAUUUCUGCCUAUUUUGGCAAAAUACCCCAUGUGGAAUACUCGAAUAACAAAGCAAAGAUCUCUUCAGGAAGAUACAAUAAUAAUCACAUGAUUCAAUAAAAACUGAGAAGAUUCCUGGUUGUUAGCAUGAAAAAAGGCUCAGUGUGACGCAACAUUGCUGUUUUCAACGAAGGCCAAAAGCCAAACAAAAUGGGCAGCCUCUGAAACUGGAAAAGACAAGAAAACUAAUUCUCCUCUAGAGACUCCAGAAAGAUUUGCACCUUGAUUUUAACCCCG